rnacentral:tRNA from 1 species
UCGGCGGAAUCCAGCCUGGUAAGAUCUCAGCCCCCCAAGCUGAUGACCCGGGUUCAAAUCCCGGCGGCCGCACCA